UACAGAGGGUGCUAGCGUUGUUCGGAAUCAUUGGGCGUAAAGGGCGCGUAGGCGGUUUGUUAAGUCAUGUGUGAAAUCCCUCGGCUCAACCGGGGAACGACGCAUGAAACUGGCAAGCUAGAGUACCAAAGAGGGGGGUGGAAUUCCCGGUGUAGCGGUGAAAUGCGUAGAGAUGUGGAGGAACACCAGUGGCGAAGGCGACUCUUUGGUCUGUAACUGACGCUGAGGCGCGAAAGCGUGGGGAGCAAACAGG
rnacentral:rRNA from 1 species